rnacentral:rRNA from 1 species
GACGGAGGAUGCAAGCGUUAUCCGGAAUGAUUGGGCGUAAAGCGUUCGUAGGCGGCCGUUCAAGUCUGCUGUCAAAGACCGGGGCUUAACCUCGGAAAGGCAGUGGAAACUGAACAGCUAGAGUAUGGUAGGGGCAGAGGGAAUUCCUGGUGUAGCGGUGAAAUGCGUAGAGAUCAGGAAGAACAUCGGUGGCGAAGGCGCUCUGCUGGACCAUAACUGACGCUCAGGAACGAAAGCUAGGGGAGCGAAUGGG